AACGCGAAGAACCUUACCUGGUCUUGACAUCCACGGAAGUUUUCAGAGAUGAGAAUGUGCCUUCGGGAACCGUGAGACAGGUGCUGCAUGGCUGUCGUCAGCUCGUGUUGUGAAAUGUUGGGUUAAGUCCCGCAACGAGCGCAACCCUUAUCCUUUGUUGCCAGCGGCCCGGCCGGGAACUCAAAGGAGACUGCCAGUGAUAAACUGGAGGAAGGUGGGGAUGACGUCAAGUCAUCAUGGCCCUUACGACCAGGGCUACACACGUGCUACAAUGGCGCAUACAAAGAGAAGCGACCUCGCGAGAGCAAGCGGACCUCAUAAAGUGCGUCGUAGUCCGGAUUGGAGUCUGCAACUCGACUCCAUGAAGUCGGAAUCGCUAGUAAUCGUGGAUCAGAAUGCCACGGUGAAUACGUUCCCGGGCCUUGUACACACCG
rnacentral:rRNA from 1 species